rnacentral:lncRNA from 1 species
GAUGCACCCUGAGGCAAACUUACAACCCUCGAACUCGGGCAGCCUUUUACUUCAGUGACACUGGAACAUUUUCCAGGCCGUGUCUGCAAGCUCCUGAACAAUCCUUUUUCUUCUGUGUUUACUGGGGGGGAAAAAAAGCAAUCAGUCUAGUCAGCAGCAGAAGUUGUGAAAAGAAAGAGAAGUUUCCGAGUAUGUCCAGAUAGAAUUCUGUGUAAGCACUGCUUGGAAUAUAGUUUCUAUACGUAUAUAAUGGAUCUGACCUGAAGGAGAUUCAUGAAGUUAUGNUUAUAUGUGGAUAAAAUUGAGGUCCAU